rnacentral:rRNA from 1 species
CUUCCCCACGGGCAGUCCCCGCCAACUGACGAUCCGUGGUGGUAGUUGUUACACUUCCCCACGGGCAGUCCCCGGGAAACCUUUAAGUCUUUGGGUUCCGGGGGAAGUAUGGUUGCAAAGCUGAAACUUAAAGGAAUUGACGGAAGGGCACCACCAGGAGUGGAGCCUGCGGCUUAAUUUGACUCAACACGGGAAAACUCACCCGGGCCGGACACUAUGAGGAUUGACAGAUUGAUAGCUCUUUCUUGAUUUGGUGGUUGGUGGUGCAUGGCCGUUCUUAGUUGGUGGAGCGAUUUGUCUGGUUAAUUCCGAUAACGAACGAGACUCCAGCCUGCUAAUUAGGGCAUUUGUCCACUGUGCCAGCCAAGCGGCGCUGUGUCAGCUGCUUGGGUUCAGUGUGGGAAUUCAACAUUGCGUCUGUGAGUUAGCACACAUAGCUGUAUAUUGUACUGCCUGUACUGUAGUUACGGCUAUAGUAUAUGGUGUGUGCGAUGUGUGGUUGUGUGAUCGCUAAUAUGCAGUCGUAAUGACCUACAUGUAGUAUCCGGUGGAUGGCACGACGUUAGCUAGCAGGUGCGGCGCAAAUGCCUACUUCUUAGAGGGACACGCGGGAGAAGCCGCACGAAAUAGAGCAAUAACAGGUCUGUGAUGCCCUUAGAUGUCCGGGGCCGCACGCGCGCUACAAUGGCGGUGUCAACGAGUCAGACCUUCUGGCCUGAAAAGGCUGGGUAAACUGGUCAAUCACCGUCAUGACAGGGAUCGGGGCUUGGAAUUAUUCCCCGUGAACGAGGAAUUCCUAGUAAGUGCAAGUCAUAAGCUUGCGCUGAUUACGUCCCUGCCCUUUGUACACACCGCCCGUCGCUACUACCGAUUGAAUGGUUUAGUAAGGUCCUUGGAUUGGCGCCAUCUUGGUGCCCCGAAAGGUGGCUACCUGGCCGGU